rnacentral:rRNA from 1 species
ACGAACGCUGGCGGCGUGCUUAACACAUGCAAGUCUACGAGAAAGAGGUAGCAAUAUCUUGAUUAAAGUGGCGCACGGGUGAGUAACACGUAAGCAAUCUACCCUUAGAUCCGGAAUAACUUCGAGAAAUCGUGGCUAAUACCGGGUAAUGCAGCGGCACCGCAUGGUGAUGUUGUUAAAGUUUCGAUGUCUAGGGAUGAGCUUGCGUCUGAUUAGCUAGUUGGUGAGGUAACGGCUCACCAAGGCUGCGAUCAGUAGUUGGUCUGAGAGGAUGAUCAGCCACACUGGAACUGAGACACGGUCCAGACUCCUACGGGAGGCAGCAGUGAGGAAUAUUGGGCAAUGCCCGCAAGGGUGACCCAGCAACGCCGCGUGGAGGAUGAAUGCCGUAAGGUUGUAAACUCCUUUUAUAUGUCAAGAAAAUGACGGUAGCAUAUGAAUAAGCACCGGCUAACUCCGU